UUGCAUGAUGAAACGGCACUGGGCUCCGAACUACAUGAGCAAGACAUGCCAUUUUUUGCGACAGGCCUAGAAAACCUCGUCCACUGAUC
rnacentral:snoRNA from 1 species